rnacentral:tRNA from 1 species
GCCCCGUUAGUCUAGCCCGGUCAAGGACACGACCCUCUCAAGGUCGAAACCCGAGUUCGAAUCUCGGACGGGGCA